CCAGCCUCCUUAGUGUGUGAAAUCUCUGCACCCUGUUUAAAGACGAUGGUACUUGGGGUUUAGCCCUUCAACUCGGAAAAGCUCUGAGAAGCCCAUGCGGUGUUCUCCAGCAAAGCAGUGUCGCUGCCAUAUGUGUGUGUGCAUGUGCGUGUUGUCGGUGCCUCCCUCGGCUCUCAGUGUGCUCAGCCUUCCUGUGGGUCUGCUCUGCUCCUGAAAUCUGCUGAAAUCCUUGGGUAAUCGACAUCAUGUUUUCAGUUAGGACCCCAGCUCCAUUCCACAGUGGGGAACAUGGGUCCUUUGCCAGAAUCAUAAAUCAUCUGUAAACUCCAUGGGAAGGUUGUAAUAGCAACAGUUACCCUUUGGAAAACAUGCCUUUAGAAACUCGCAUUUUUAUAUUUGAGACGUCUUGGGAUCUUGGCAAAAGCCUGUGAGGUGUGCAGGCUAUGUGGGGUCCUCACUGAACCCGUUUCAAUGCUUAGGAAUUGUACGUCGGUUUCCCAGGGUUACAGAGCUUCUUUCUCUGGCUGUUUCGCUCAAGGUAAACCAUGAAACUUCUGGAGAAGUCCAGGAUCUUUUAUUUACCCCUCCUGUGAAGUCCCUUCUCUCUGGCAUGACUCUGUGGACAGGGAUCAGAGAGCCGCUGUGAGGCUUGGCUCGUUCAGCCAUCACGUGCGGUUCUGCUCAGUCUGGAUAUAAUUU
rnacentral:lncRNA from 1 species